UACGUAGGGUGCGAGCGUUAAUCGGAAUUACUGGGCGUAAAGCGUGCGCAGGCGGUUUUGUAAGCCAGAUGUGAAAUCCCCGGGCUCAACCUGGGAAUGGCAUUUGGGACUGCAAGGCUGGAGUACGGCAGAGGAGACUGGAAUUCCUGGUGUAGCAGUGAAAUGCGUAGAUAUCAGGAGGAAUACCGAUGGCGAAAGCAGGUCUCUGGGCUGAUACUGACGCUCAUGCACGAAAGCGUGGGGAGCAAACAGG
rnacentral:rRNA from 1 species